ensembl:lncRNA
AUAGCCGCCCCAUAGCUGCCCCAUAGCCACCCCAUAGCUGCCCCAUAGCUGCCCCAUAGCUGCCACACAGCCGCCCCAUAGCUGCCCCAUGGCGACCCCAUAGCUGCCCCAUGAAUGUCCUAGAGCUGCCCCAUAGCUGCUCCAUAACUGCCGCAUAGCUGCUCCAUAGCUGCCCCAUAGCCUCCCCAUAGCUGCCCCAUAGAUACCCCAUAGCCACCCCACAGCUGCCCCAUAGCCACCCCAUAGCUGCCCCAUAGCCGCCCCAUAGCUGCCCCACAGCUGCCCCAUAGCCGCCCCAUAGCCGCCCCAUGAAUGUCCUAUAGCUGUCCCAUAGCUGCUCCAUAACUGCCCCAUAGCCGCCCCACAGCCGCCCCACAACCACCCCACAACCACCCCACAGCCACCCCAUAACCACCCCACAGCCACCCCACAGCCACUCCAUUCCCAACCACCCCAUUCCCACCCCACAACCACCCCAUUCCCACCGCAUUCCCACCCCACCACCACCCCACAACCAUCCCACAGCCACCCCAUUCCCACCCCAUAACCACCCCACAACCACCCCAUUCCCACCCCAUAACCACCCCACUCCCCCCCCCUCCCGCCCCCCUCCUGCCCCACAGACCUUCAUAGACGGCGAAGAAGCCCUUCCCCACCCAGUUGCUGCUGCUGCGGAACUCGACCCACAGGCGGCUGUCGCUGGACACGAUGGGCUCGGGCAGCUUGUUGCCGCAGAACCGGCCUGCGCCACGACCGCGCUAUGGGGCGGCUGUGGGGCGGCUGUGGGGCAGGGCUAUGGGGCGGCUGUGAGGAGGUGCUAUGGGGAGGUGCUAUGGGGCAGGGCUAUGGGGCAGGGCUAUGGGGCGGCUAUGGGGCGGGGCUAUGGGGCGGCUAUGGGGCGGCUAUGGGGCAGGGCUAUGGGGCAGCUAUGGGGCGGCUGUGGGGCAGGGCUAUGGGGCAGGGCUAUGGGGUGGCUAUGGGGCGGCUAUGGGGCAGCUAUGGGGCAGCUGUGGGGCACAACAUGCAUGGGGAGCAGGAUGCGCGAUGGGGAGGGGGCUGGGAUUGGGGUGGGCACUGGGACGUGGGGCCCCACUGGGAUUUGGGGUCCCACUGUUAUAAGGGGUCCCACUGUUGCAUGGGGUCCCACUGGAAUUUGGGGUCCCACUGGGGUUUGGGGUCCCACGGGUUUGGGGUCCCACUGUUACAUGGGGUCCCACGGGUCUGGGGUCCCACAGGUUUGGGGUCCCACAGGUUUGGGGUCCCACAGGUUUGGGGUCCCAUUGGGGUUUGGGGUCCCAUUGGGGUUUGGGGUCCCACUGUUAUAUGGAUUCCCACUGGGAUUUGGGGUCCCACUGUUGCAUGGGGUCCCACUGGGGUUUGGGGUCCCACGGGUCUGGGGUCCCACGGGUCUGGGGUCCCAUGGGUUUGGGGUCCCACUGGGAUUUAGGGUCCCACAGGUCUGGGGUCCCACAGGUUUGGGGUCCCAUUGGGGUUUGGGGUCCCACUGUUAUAUGGAUUCCCACUGGGAUUUGGGGUCCCACAGGUUUGGGGUCCCACAGGUCUGGGGUCGCACUGUUACAUGGGGUCCCACAGGUNNNNNNNNNNNNNNNNNNNNNNNNNNNNNNNNNNNNNNNNNNNNNNNNNNNNNNNNNNNNNNACUGGGGUUUGGGGUCCCACUGUUACAUGGGGUCCCACGGGUUUGGGGUCCCACGGGUCUGGGGUCCCACUGUUACAUGGGGUCCCAUUGGGGUUUGGGGUCCCACUGGGGUUUGGGGUCCCACGGGUUUGGGGUCCCACGGGUUUGGGGUGGCGCUGUGGCACCUCUGAGCGCCGCCUUCCUCCAGAAGCCGUCGCGCACCUCCACGUAGUCGUACCAGCACAGCCGGCUGCGGUACACGUCCAGCACCGAGAAGUUCAGCUGGAUCUGCGGGCAGCGGCGUC